UACGAAGGGUGCAAGCGUUAAUCGGAAUUACUGGGCGUAAAGCGUGCGCAGGCGGUUCGUUAAGUUCGUUGUGAAAGCCCCGGGCUCAACCUGGGAACUGCAAUGGAAACUGGCGGGCUUGAGUGUGGCAGAGGGGGGUGGAAUUCCGCGUGUAGCAGUGAAAUGCGUAGAGAUGCGGAGGAACACCGAUGGCGAAGGCAGCCCCCUGGGCCAACACUGACGCUCAGGCACGAAAGCUAGGGGAGCAAACGGG
rnacentral:rRNA from 1 species